GCUGGAGAGCCUCCUCCUCUUCUUGUUCCAAGCUUUUCUGCUGUUGAAGAGCUACCACAUCCUAGCCCUGAUGUGGCUGCAUUCUUGUGACAAACAAACAAACUAAUAACUCCCACAAGUUGCCGUGAUGCGUCUAACCACAUCCGUGGCGCUGUGCUUCCAAGCAGAUGUUGCCAGGACUCACUGAGUCUCCAGCAGCAUUAUGAAAGCACGUCCAGAUGCAAGGGCCGAUAAGGAAUCCCCCUGUCCCCCCCUCCCAGUGCUCUGCAGGCCCCGUGGCCGAGCCUCGCCGUGCUGCCAGGCCCUGCAGAGCUCCCCAGCAGUGCUCACCUGCAAAGGCUUUCCCUGAGAAGGAGGCAGAGGCUUGGAAGGAGCGCUCGGGGAGGUUACCCACGGGGCUUGUGCAACGUGGACCUGAACAAUGAAGCUCAAUUGACUCGGCCCAGCUUGCAGUGAAGACAACAGGAGUGCUGUUGAGUUCACAUGGUGUUGCAGCGUUACGUUGCAGGGUCUGGUUCUGAUUCUCCAGUCCAACAGCAGAAACUUCCUUCGGCUUCAGCAGCAGCAGGGCUGGGCCACGCGUACGUAAGUCCCAGCAGAAGCCAGUCAGCUGGCUCUCAUUGCUGGUGAGCCCUCAGCAGCACCGAGGUAAUAAAAGCCAGAGCAAGGCUCCAGGAGUGUGGGGGCUUCUCCAGCUCCCUGUUGGGUUUGCUUUGGGGAGCGGAGCUGUGCGUGCAGGCGGCAGAGAAAAUCCCUUAAACCUCCCUCUGAGAGAGGGGAGAGGGAGGCACAGGGACCCCUCAGCUCUCCCUUGGCCCAAGGGGCAGCAUCAGGUCCAGGAACAAACCCAUGUAUUUGGGGAUACACCUCCCAGAUCUCACUAACUCCUCUGUGCGUCGCUGCGAGUGACAAGUGAUGUGGCUGGGAAGAGGGCAGCACGCUCUCCACCAAGGAAAUCAGCUUUCUAGGGAUGAGUGCAGCCUGGAGGCACCUGGGGCUGAUGCUUUCAUCCCAGAGCACAUCGCCCAGGGGCAGCACUUCCACACCGCCUCUCCCCGGCCCUGGAGGAGCUGGCUGGUGAGCAGGUUGCGCUGCUGGCCCUCUCAGAUAGGUUUUAAUAGCAGGGACGGGGGGAUUAUUUUGUUAGGACUGUACUUAAGCCCCCAAAGCUCAUUCCACAAAAGCUACCAGGAGCUGCUCUCCAGUGCUGAUGGCUUCCAAGUGCUCAUCUGGAUAAGAGCUGGCAGUGAAGCCCGUCUCCCUCUGCUGAGCCACGUCCUAUUGCAUUUUCCUCAUUUGGAGUUGUACCCAGAGCCUCUGCAGUACGAGGGAACACCGUGAAUUAGUUUCCAGCACCCUGAACUGUUAACCUCAGCUGUAGUAACCCCUCCCGGCCCUGGGAACCCAAUCUACAAAGCAAUUCCUUUCCCCAAAGUGCUUGGAGCUUCAACCGCAAUGGAGAGGAUUAAAUGCAGACACCCGUUACCACCUCACCUAUGAAAUCCGCCGUGCUGACAAGUCUGCCACCCGUCACCUGGCUCCACGGUCAAUCUUCUGUGGCUGAGAAGGUGGCUGCGAAGAGCGGGGAGCUGUGCUGUGCACGCAGCCUCCCCGAGGAGCCGCUGCUUUUCCACCUCGUUUUAUUUGCAGCCCUCUGCUGUGCCCCGUGUGCAGCUCCAUUCGGUGACUGCUGCUCCGAACAGCUGUGCCCGACCUGUGUUUCCAUUAGGAGGAUGGAGGAGCCCUCAUCUUCGUGCCUGUCCCUUUGGAGAGCUCUUUCAGCCACCACCUCCAGCGCCCUGCCACCGGUGCCGUUUCCUGGCAGUGGAGGAUAAAGGAGGUGGAUGGAGGGGCAGGAUGUCCCAGCAGGGUUAGCUGUCCUGCAGGGAGGAACUCAUGCUCAAAGGUUUAUUUUACUCCUUACUCACCUCAGCUUGCUCCUUCCAAAGCGAGGUGGCAGCUGAGGAGGACCAGGGGAGGCUGUUCUUCCCGCGUAUCCAUCCCACCCCGCAGUAUUUGUUGGUACUCUGAGAGCCCCCGAGGCCACAAGCACCAUGCACAAAUGCACCGCGUGCCCCGUGCUCUCCGAAGCAGAGGGGACGCAGGCAGAGAGGCCCAGAGCAGAGAGCCCAGAAAUGCUCCUGAAAUGAAGCAUCCCCACCCAGCCUGGGCUGCCACCGGCUCAGGAAGGAAGGUUUGAUAUCCCAUUGCCAUCGUGAGAUGAAGUGAUUCGGCUUUUCUGCUGUGUGCUCGUGUUCUCCCUUACUGCGUGACUCCAAAACUUCAUCCCGUGGAAGAGCUGACUGCUUGGGCUCUGGUGAACAAGCUUUGCAGCCUGAACAGUCACUGUUGUCUUUUUUCUCCUCUUCCUCUAAGUGCCUUUCAGUGGCUGUGUUACAACAAGAAUUGGUCUGAUCCAGAGGCCAGGAGAGGCUCAAGCUUUGCCUCGUAGCCUCCCUCUCCACGAGCCACCCGGUUGAGCAGUGCCAUGGCUUUCCUUUAUGCAGUUGCCUGGAGCCACUCUCCCAGAAGACAAUCUUUCCAAGAGCCAGCUCUGAGGCUCUUUUUCCAUGUCUGUAUAUCCCAGUGCCUCCCAGAUACAGAGACACCUCCGCCACCGCCUUGUUUUAAUUUAUCUUAGCAACUGUCCCCCUAAUCCCACUGGAGGACGGGCUGCCUGGAAUUUGCUCGUCU